rnacentral:rRNA from 1 species
AUUGAACGCUGGCGGCAUGCCUUACACAUGCAAGUCGAACGGCAGCAUGGAGAGCUUGCUCUCUGAUGGCGAGUGGCGAACGGGUGAGUAAAGCAUCGGAACGUACCGUGUAGUGGGGGAUAACGUAGCGAAAGUUACGCUAAUACCGCAUACGCACUGAGGUGGAAAGCAGGGGAUCGCAAGACCUUGCGCUAUACGAGCGGCCGAUGUCAGAUUAGCUAGUUGGUAGGGUAAAGGCCUACCAAGGCGACGAUCUGUAGCGGGUCUGAGAGGAUGAUCCGCCACACUGGGACUGGGACACGGCCCAGACUCCUACGGGAGGCAGCAGUGGGGAAUUUUGGACAAUGGGCGCAAGCCUGAUCCAGCAAUGCCGCGUGCAGGAAGAAGGCCUUCGGGUUGUAAACCGCUUUUGUCAGGGAAGAAACGCUUCGAGCUAAUACCUCGAGGUAAUGACGGUACCUGAAGAAUAAGCACCGGCUAACUACGUGCCAGCCGCCGCCGUAACAC